CGAAACCCCCUGCACGCCCGAGCCUUCUUCCCCCCCUCCGCGCGAACCCGAGCCCUAACCGGCGCUCACGGCGGUUUCCUCCACUUCCUCUUCUCGGUUCCCUCCUCUUCUCUUACAUCUUAUCCUCUGCCGACGCCGAGCAUCAACCACAAGAGCUCCGGCGGCUUCGCACUCUGCCCUAGCCGACCCUUUCAUUUGCCGGCGAUCUUCCUGAGCCGAGCAUCACGCCGGCAGCCGACCUAUUGCCUUUGCCCUAGCUUGGAUCGCGAGCCCUCUCCGCCGCUGAGAUCAGGAACGCGCCGGCGACGCACGGAACAGCGCCUUUUCCCUGGAGUCCCAGCGCCGACCACCACAGUGUCGUGGCCCUUUUCCCCUCUUCCCAUCUUCGCCAGUGCGUCUCUGCUUGGAUUACAUCCGGCCAAGAACAACGAAUCAAACCCUAGUUCUUCCUUGGCGUGCCACUUCCGAGUGCAAGUUUGUUUCUCCACAGCGAACCCCUCUGCCCUACCUCUACCUUAGCACCAGCAGCUACCUCCGAUACAGAGUAGGUUUGUAGUGGAUGAUUUUGGGUUCCAGCAGCUAUCCCAUUUAGCAACCUACUUAAUUGUCAACAGCAACACACUUUGCGAUCGGGAAUCAAGAAACCACAGGCUGUGAAUUGAGGACUUUGACGCGAGACGAGUAUCUCGGAGUCAGAUUGGACCUUUCUAUUUUCG